GAAGUGGCAGAUCCAGGAGCAGCAGCUGAAGCUCCAGAUCGCCCAGCUGGAGACGGCACUGAAGGCCGACCUCAUGGACAAAAAUGAAAUCCUGGAUAAGAUCAAAGCUGAGAGAGACUCAAACGAGAAGCUGACAGAAGAAAAUCAGAAACUUCAGCUCCAGUUUCUGGAACAGAAGCAGCAGCUGGAGGAACUAAACGACCGUUUGAAGUUCUACAGCAGGGAGAACGAGUACGACGUGUCUGAACUCACUGAGGCUCUGCUGCUCGUUAAG